GUAAGUUUGUUGACUUUAAGUCUUUCAGUAAAGUAAAAAAUAUCUGCUUUUAUAUGGUUAAUAUCUUACAUAUCUUCUGUUUGAGGGUAAGAUAUGAAAUUGAAUUUUGGAACAGGGAGCUAGAACAGAAACUUGUUCUUCCAAUCCGUGCAUGUAGCUGGCAUUGCAGUACUGCUGAGAAUGGUGCAGCUUCU